rnacentral:tRNA from 1 species
AGAGGUGUAGCUCAAUUAGGUAGAGCAUCUGACUCCAGAUCAGAUUGUUGAGGGUUCGAUUCCUUCCACCUCUGCCA